UACGAAGGGGGCUAGCGUUGUUCGGAAUUACUGGGCGUAAAGCGCGCGUAGGCGGCUUUGUAAGUUAGAGGUGAAAGCCCGGGGCUCAACCCCGGAAUUGCCUUUAAGACUGCAUCGCUUGAAUCCGGGAGAGGUGAGUGGAAUUCCGAGUGUAGAGGUGAAAUUCGUAGAUAUUCGGAAGAACACCAGUGGCGAAGGCGACUUACUGGACACAUAUUGACGCUGAGGUGCGAAAGCGUGGGGAGCAAACAGG
rnacentral:rRNA from 1 species